ACCAGAGGGUUGUAGUGGUUUGAGUAUUGGACUCUGAUUCUGAAAGCCAGGGUUCGAAUCCCUGCUCAGACU